UAGUUUUGCUUUUAUUUUCAGCAAAAGCAAGAGACAGAAUAGCACGGAAGCGCAGCUAGACUUUUACUCCGAGCAUUCUUGUUUGCAUAUUACUCUUAGCAUUGAAGAGCUUUCAGAAAUGGAUAUUGGCUUAGCAGUUGGAGGUGCAUUUCUCUCUUCAGCUUUGAAUGUUCUCUUUGAUAGGCUUGCUCCUCAGGGUGAGUUGCUCAAGAUGUUCCAAAGGGGCAAGCAUGAUGUUGGACUGCUAAAGAGGUUGAAGAUGAUUUUGCUUGGUCUUCAAGCUGUGCUAAGUGAUGCAGAGAAUAAGCAGACAUCUAAUCCAUACGUGAGAGAGUGGCUUAAUGAACUUCGGGAUGCUGUGGACAGUGCUGAAAACUUAAUAGAAGAAGUCAAUUAUGAAGUUGUGAGAGUUAAGGUGGAAGGUCAGAAUCAAAAUCUUGCAGAAACAAGCAACCAGCAAGUAAGUGACCUCAACUUGUGCUUGAGUGAUGAAUUUUUCCUUAACAUAAAGGAGAAGUUGGAGGGCACCACUAAAAUAUUGGAGGAGUUGGAAAAGCAGAUUUGUAGGCUUGGCCUAAAGGACUAUCUUGUUUCUGGUAAACAAGAAACAAGAGGACCUUCAACUUCUUUGGUUGAUGAAUCUGAUAUCUUUGGUAGGCAGAAUGAAAUAGAGAUUUUGGUUGACCGUUUAUUGUCUGUUGAUGCCGAUGGAAAAACGUAUAGUGUAAUUCCUAUUGUUGGAAUGGCGGGGAUUGGCAAGACAACACUUGCUAAAGCUGUUUACAAUAACGAGAAGGUGAAAGACCAUUUUGAUUUGAAAGCUUGGUUUUGUGUGUCUGAACAAUAUGAUGCUUCUAGAAUAACAAAAGGAUUACUUCAAGAAAUUGAUUCAUCCAACUUGAUGGUUGAUAACAAUCUUAAUCAGCUUCAAAUCAAAUUGAAGGAUAGCUUAAAAGUGUGUAGCGUCUAUUUGCACAGUGAAGCCGAGGAAGCAUCUUUGCUCGAAAUGAAAUUUAAGUAAGUUGAUGAAGGAGGAGGUGGUUUAGAGUAAUGCACAAGUCCACUAUUGAAUGCGAAGCUCUAAUAGAAUUCAAAGGUAUACACGACACAAAAUUUGUCUCCUAUCUAUUAAAAAUAGAAAAUGAAAGUUGGUUCUCCUAAGCUUGGAGUUCUUUUUGAUAACUGCUUAUGUCCCAAGAGAAUUUGUCACAAAAUUCGUCUCCUAAGAGAAUUAAGUUUUAUCACUGCUGGAAGAAGGGCUUCCCUCGUCUCUUUCUGAGCUCCAUCGGCUACCAACAGUAGAUCUUAGGUGCCUUACAGUUUGAGUUUCACAUUAAAGGCUUGUUUCUCAGUUUGACUAAAUGAGGGGAAAAGACUACGUCCUCUUUGAGUAUUUAUUCUCUGAUGAUUUGCCAAGUUUUUUAGACUAGAUCUUGUUGCUCUGUAUGGGAAGGAAAAGCCGGGAAGAGAGUUAUUCAAGGUUCAUUCUUAUGUGAAGUUCCCCUCUCAAUUUCAUGGACACAUGGUGAGGAUCCGACAGUGGCGCUCUGACAUAUGUAAUUUUCAAGGCUUCUCUUGGCUUGUUUAUUAAUUGCUUGUCUUUUCUAAUAUUCUAGACUACUAUGCAUCAUUUAUUUCUGUUGCAAAAACUAUUAGUCCCUUCAUUCCUUCUCUUAGGAAAACUGCUUUAUCCCUGUAGAAAAACUGCUUGAAGAGAUUUUGCAAAUAAUCUUGUUCUUUUUAGUAGUAAUCGAUCUAUUGAUUUUCACUGAUCCAAAAUAAAAGUAAUAUCAUGAUUUUCAAAUUCCUUGUUACUUCUGCUUUUUGAUAGUCAACACUAAUGCAAUUUAUCAGCAAUUGGCAGUGUAGUUGAAAGGAUGAGCAGGAAGUCAGAUUGUCUACAUUAAUAGAUGCUGGAGUGGAAGCAGUGGCACGUACUAGGGAAUGGAAAGUUUCCUAUACUUCAGAAUCUUUUAAUUAAAAUUUGCCCCAAGUUGAUUGGGAGGUUUCCUGAAAAUCUUUGUUCUCUGACAAUAUUGACAAUUUCAAAUUGUCCGGAACUCAAUCUGGAGACACCUAUCCAACUUUCAAGUCUAAAACAGUUUGAAGUUGAAGGUUCUCCUAAGGUUGGAGUUCUUUUUUAUCAU